CUGUUCGCUUUGGCAGCACAUAUGCUAAAAUUGGAAUGAUACAGAGAGAUUAGCAUGGCCCCUGCGCAAGGAUGACAUGCAAAUUCAUGAAGCAUUCCAUAUUUUU
rnacentral:snRNA from 1 species